UACGUAGGGUGCAAGCGUUAGUCGGAAUUACUGGGCGUAAAGCGUGCGCAGGCGGUUUUGUAAGUCUGACGUGAAAUCCCCGGGCUCAACCUGGGAAUUGCGUUGGAGACUGCAAGGCUAGAAUCUGGCAGAGGGGGGUAGAAUUCCACGUGUAGCAGUGAAAUGCGUAGAGAUGUGGAGGAACACCGAUGGCGAAGGCAGCCCCCUGGGUCAAGAUUGACGCUCAUGCACGAAAGCGUGGGGAGCAAACAGGAUUAGAUACCUGGUAGUCAAGGGCG
rnacentral:rRNA from 1 species